UACGUUUUUACUUGCAGGGUAUUUUAAUAAGUAACUGUUGGAAGGGACACAAAUAUAUUUUCAAUCGAUUCAUCGUUAACUCAAAUUGUGGCACAACCAAAUGAUAAAGACCCAGUUUCUCGAAUAAUCGUGACCUCAACCACACCACUAGAAUAUGCAUAUAGCGUAGACCAAUCACUUUUAAUUCAAGCAUUCAAAUUUUGUUUUCAUCAAAGAUUUUGAGACAAACAAGUGUCUGACACUCCUGAAGAACCAUACGGAGUCAAUUACAUCUCUCGAAUCGCCCGAUCCCUCCAUUGUCAUAUCCGGGGCUACCAAUGGGGUAGUUGUCAUGACUGAUGUACGGAUGGGAAAUGAGCCCUUUCGACAACUGCACUUUUUGGGGAGAAAAGAAUGGUGUUUAUUUAUUAGGGUGUGUGGGGCACAUAAAAUAUAAUUGCACUCAUCUUUUUGCAGUGGGGAAUGACACGCAUGUCCAUGUGUAUGACGACCGAGUAUUCAUCACUCUUAUUGGCAGAAUGAACAACAACCAAUACUCACAGACUGCUGCCACGGGGAGUACAUCACAAGCAUUGAUUGGUUUCCCCGCACUGGACGGGGAUUAGUCAUUGCCAGUGACCACCACAUUUGCCAGGUUAUUCCACAUAUCGGAGUACACAGAUCUACGACGUCCAUACCCUUGUCCCAUCUCAAAUAAUAUACCACAGACCUGUCUGGAAACUUCAGAGCGACGUAUUCCCAGUUUUCUAGUUUAGUACAACGAGAAAUUACUGAUGGGGAUAUCCUCUCCAUUCAAUCACUCGCAGGAAGUCAAUAUUCGUCUUUUAUCCAACACCGAAACCUACAAAGUUCUAUCUGUGCGUCAAGAUUCCAUUUCUGAGUAUUUCUUGGGUUUGUCGUCCUCUGUUUCCUCCGCUGUCUUUACAUGGACAUACGCAGAUAGUUUAUCUCGGCUCAGACUAAAUCAAUAUUGUUCGGAGAUUAUGGUAUUCCAGAUUUGUUGUCGUACUUAAGUCUUUGGACAGUCUUUCCAUCUCUGAUAAUUCAAAUAAACACGCGGAUAAUCUAUGCCCAUGGAAGUUUUGGUUCUCUGUCUUGAAAAGCAAUUUUGACGGAAAUGUGGAAAUUCUAUCAGUUAGUCAGCCUUUCAUUGCAGGAAAAUCAUUCUACUGGGGAAUACUCAAUAAACUUGUCGGUGUGGCCCUUCUUUGCGUCCUUUCGUCUAAAAUGCACGAUGGAGGGUUAUAUUUGUGUUGAAUUAUUGGACUGUUCGAGUGGAGACAUCGACAUUCGAUCAUUUGUACACCGUUCAGUAUAUUCUAGUUGAGCGAACGUGCUUACGCAGGGAUAAACGAGAUUUAUAAACUUCUUGGGGACAUAAGCGACGAAUUUAGAAAGGCAAAACGAACAAAAAGAUGCCUAAAUGCGGCAAAUAUUGGAGGAACUCGGUUCUUUA